AGUGAACGCUGGCGGUAGGCCUAACACAUGCAAGUCGAACGGCGGCACAGUAAGAGCUUGCUCUUACGGGUGGCGAGUGGCGGACGGGUGAGGAAUACAUCGGAAUCUACUUUUUCGUGGGGGAUAACGUAGGGAAACUUACGCUAAUACCGCAUACGACCUACGGGUGAAAGCAGGGGAUCUUCGGACCUUGCGCGAUUGAAUGAGCCGAUGUCGGAUUAGCUAGUUGGCGGGGUAAAGGCCCACCAAGGCGACGAUCCGUAGCUGGUCUGAGAGGAUGAUCAGCCACACUGGAACUGAGACACGGUCCAGACUCCUACGGGAGGCAGCAGUGGGGAAUAUUGGACAAUGGGCGCAAGCCUGAGCCAGCCAUACCGCGUGGGUGAAGAAGGCCUUCGGGUUGUAAAGCCCUUUUGUUGGGAAAGAAAAGCAGCAGGUUAAUACCCCGCUGUUCUGACGGUACCCAAAGAAUAAGCACCGGCUAACUUCGU
rnacentral:rRNA from 1 species